rnacentral:rRNA from 1 species
AUGAACGCUAGCGGCAGGCCUUAUCACAUGCAAGUCGAGGGGUAUUCAGUUUUCGGACUGGAGAGACCGGCGCACGGGUGCGUAACGCGUAUGCAAUCUACCUUUUACAGGGGAAUAGCCCAGAGAAAUUUGGAUUAAUGCCCCAUAGUAUAUAAACUUCGCAUGUUGUUUAUAUUAAAGUUCCAACGGUAAAAGAUGAGCAUGCGUCCCAUUAGUUAGUUGGUAAGGUAACGGCUUACCAAGACGAUGAUGGGUAGGGGUCCUGAGAGGGAGAUCCCCCACACUGGUACUGAGACACGGACCAGACUCCUACGGGAGGCAGCAGUGAGGAAUAUUGGACAAUGGGCGCAAGCCUGAUCCAGCCAUGCCGCGUGCAGGAAGAAGCAUCUAUGGUGUGUAAACUGCUUUUGUACAGGAAGGAACACUCCCUCGUGAGGGAGCUUGACGG